rnacentral:rRNA from 1 species
GACGAACGCUGGCGGCGUGCUUAACACAUGCAAGUCGAACGGAGUGGCGAACGGGUGAGUAACACGUGGGUGAUCUGCCUUGCACUUCGGGAUAAGCUUGGGAAACUGGGUCUAAUACCGGAUAGUGCAAGAUGAGCUCGUGGCCUAUCAGCUUGUUGGUGGGGUAAUUGCCUACCAAGGCGUCGACGGGUAGCCGGCCUGAGAGGGUGUACGGCCAUAUUGGGAUGGAGUGACAGCCGCGACUCCGACGGGAGGCAGCAGGGAGGAAUAUUGCACAAUGGGCGGAAGCAAUAAGCAGGGACGCAGCGUGGGGGAUGAAGGCCUUCGGGUUGAAAACUCCUUUCGACAGGGACGCGGUACCUGUAUAAGAAGCACCGGCUAACUACGUGCCAGCAGCCGCGGUAAUAC